rnacentral:tRNA from 1 species
GUUAGUGUAAUUGGCAACACGACAGUCUCCAAAACUGUUAAUCAGGGUUCGAAUCCCUGGCUUCCUGUUUACA